rnacentral:tRNA from 1 species
CGAAAUAGCUCAGCUGGUAGAGCAACUCAUUCGUAAUGAGUAGGUCCCGGGUUCGAGUCCCGGUUUCG